GGAAGAAUGCCGGAGCGGUCGAUCGGGGCGGUCUCGAAAACCGUUGUUCGCAAGAACCGAGGGUUCGAAUCCCUCUUCUUCCU
rnacentral:tRNA from 1 species